rnacentral:rRNA from 1 species
GUGAACGCUGGCGGUAGGCCUAACACAUGCAAGUCGAACGGCAGCACAGUAAGAGCUUGCUCUUACGGGUGGCGAGUGGCGGACGGGUGAGGAAUACAUCGGAAUCUACUUUUUCGUGGGGGAUAACGUAGGGAAACUUACGCUAAUACCGCAUACGACCUACGGGUGAAAGCAGGGGAUCUUCGGACCUUGCGCGAUUGAAUGAGCCGAUGUCGGAUUAGCUAGUUGGCGGGGUAAAGGCCCACCAAGGCGACGAUCCGUAACUGGUCUGAGAGGAUGAUCAGCCACACUGGAACUGAGACACGGUCCAGACUCCUACGGGAGGCAGCAGUGGGGAAUAUUGGACAAUGGGCGCAAGCCUGAUCCAGCCAUACCGCGUGGGUGAAGAAGGCCUUCGGGUUGUAAAGCCCUUUUGUUGGGAAAGAAAAGCAGCAGGUUAAUACCCCGCUGUUCUGGCGGUACCCAAAGAAUAAGCACCGGCUAACUUCGUG